UCUUCGCCUUUGCUGUGAUCCUCUCGUAUUGUGUGUCUUUAAUGCGAAAUUUAGAAUCUUAAAGCACCUGGGCGGAAAUCAAAAGUGCAUCCGUGUUUUUUACUUCCAGAUUUUCAGAUUUCUAUUUCCCAGAUUUUUUACAAAUCCUAUCUGAUUUCUGGUCAUUUAUAUUAGAGGUUUCGCCGGGUGUGAGUAUCUUCUACAACUGCCUCUCAACACUUCGUCUUGGUGACCCAUGCUUGAAAAGCCUCAAUAAUGUUCGGUUUGUUCAUCGAACGUUUUAAGUCCGUUCCUUAAGCAACACAUGGCCUCUGCACUCACGGAACUCAUUAAAACGUCCAUCUUUAGCCGAUCAAGCGCUUGAUCAAAUCGAGCUUACAUCUUCGGUGUUAUUGCCACUUUGGCAUUCUUCUUUGGGAUUGUGAGAGCAAGUUAUGGAGCAGGACACGGAGGCCAUGGUGGACACGGAGGAGGUGAUGGUGGUGGUGGUGGCGGAGGAGGCGGUGGAGGCUAUUACUCAUUUGGCUAUAAGGUCAAUGACGGUUACAACAACUUUGGCCAUUCGGAAAGCCGAAAUGGAGGAUCAACCAAAGGUCAAUAUCACGUCAAGCUACCCGAUGGCAAACUCCAAACCGUGAAUUACCAUGUGGACGGAUAUUCCGGAUAUGUGGCUAAAGUGAACAAUGGGUACCGGCGGUGAAAGCAAAACUGAAUUUGCUCUGCAAAAACGUAUGAUAUUUAUCAAGUGAACGAAACAAUGCUCCUUUUUAAGGAUACUCAGAAUGAUGAUGAUGUUUUUUCCAAAAGCUAUUCUUUCUAUUUGACAACAAUGAGAUAAUUCAAUA